rnacentral:rRNA from 1 species
AUUGAACGCUGGCGGCAUGCCUUACACAUGCAAGUCGAGCGGUAAAAGGCAGUUGGGUGCUGACGUGUGGCGCACGCGGGUGUAAAGUGCCUAGAAGUACCCAGGGGAGGGGGAGAUAACAUCGAGAAAUGUGCUCUUAUAGCGCGUACGCUGUGGGUGAGAGCGUGGGGGAUCUUCGCACUUCUCGCUAUCAGACCAGUCUAGGUCGGGUUGGCUAGUUGGUGGGGUAAAGGCCUACCAAGGCGACGAUCCGUAGCUGGUCUGAGAGGAUGAUCAGUCACACUGGGACUGAGACACGGUCCAGACUCCUACGGGAGGCAGCAGUGGGGAAUUUUGGACAAUGGGCGCAAGCCUGAUCCAGCAAUGCCGCGUGCGUGAAGAAGGUCUUCGGGUUGUAAAGCGCUUUUAGCAGGGACGAAGGGGUGUAAGCUAAUACCUUGCGGUAAUGACGUUACCAGCAGAAUAAGCACCGGCUAACUACGUG